rnacentral:rRNA from 1 species
AUUGAACGCUGGCGGCAGGCCUAACACAUGCAAGUCGAACGAGUGGCGGACGGGUGAGUAAUGUCUGGGAAACUGCCUGAUGGAGGGGGAUAACUACUGGAAACGGUAGCUAAUACCGCAUACCAUCAGAUGUGCCCAGAUGGGAUUAGCUAGUUGGUGGGGUAACGGCUCACCAAGGCGACGAUCCCUAGCUGGUCUGAGGGGAUGAACAGCCACUCUGGAAGUAAGACACGGUCCAGACUCCUACGGGCGGCAGCAGGGGGGAAUGUUGCACAGUGAGCGCAAGCCUGAUGCAGCCAUGCCGGGUGUAUGAAGGAGGCCUUCGGGUUGUAAAGUACUUUCAGCGGGGAGGCGUUACCCACAGAAAAAGCACCGGCUAACUCCGUGCCAGCGGCCGCGGUAAUC